GCCACCAUUGCCCCUCUCUGGGACCUGCGUCUUCCCAUUUGGAAGCUGGGGUUUACUUAUUCCUGCCCCUCUGCCGGGUAACUGUGAAGAUGAGAGGUGGGUCCUGGCUCUGAACUGGGAUCUCCUGGGAAAGCGGGGCAUUGCCGUUCCCUCCUGAUGUCACGCUUAUCUGUCCUGCCUUCGUCCUCAUUCAGCCUGUGCCCCCUUUCCCAGGCUACUGGCUGUGAAACAGGGUGAGAGACGUGCUGACGUAGGAUGGAGAGAAGAGCCUAGAAGGCCUGGCGUGGGAAGAAGAUACAGCAACUUCAGGGGAAAGGCAGAGCGGCCCUGAGAGCUCUGGGUCGACAGUGCCUGACAGGUGCUGGCACAACGCCAUGGCAACAACUGACCAAGCAGUUUCUCUGGAGCAGACAGCCUGGGUCCAAAUCGCAGCCUCCUUGCUAGCUGUGUGAUCUCAGACAGGUGACUUAACUUUUCUGUGUCUCAGUGUCCAUGUUUGUAAAAUGGCAAUGUCACAAUAUCCAUCUUAUGAAGUUGUCAAGACUAAAAGAGUUAAUAUUUAUAAAGUCUUAGAAGAUGAUGGAACAUGAUAGUGUAUGAAAAUAGAAUGUGUACAUGUAUGUGUAACUGGGUCACCAUGCUGUACAGUAGAAAAAAAAAAGUUGUAUUGGGGAAAUAACUAUUAAAAAAAUUGAAAAUAAAUAAAUAAAUAAAAAAU
rnacentral:lncRNA from 1 species